GUGGGCGGCGGCGAGGGCGGGCUGUCGCCGCUGCAGCCCGCGCCCGACCUGCACCACGCCGCGCACGGCCCCCUGUUGCUCACUGAGGCUCGAGGGGCGCCACUGGAGCUGAUGGCGCCGCACCACGCGAGACACGCCCUCUCACACCACCACCGACGCAGCAGC